CACGUAGGGGGGCAAGCGUUGUCCGGAUUUAUUGGGCGUAAAGAGCUCGUAGGCGGCUUAGUAAGUCGGGUGUGAAACCUCCAGGCUCAACCUGGAGACGCCACCCGAUACUGCUGUGGCUAGAGUCCGGUAGGGGAGCGUGGAAUUCCUGGUGUAGCGGUGAAAUGCGCAGAUAUCAGGAGGAACACCAGCGGCGAAGGCGGCGCUCUGGGCCGGUACUGACGCUGAGGAGCGAAAGCGUGGGGAGCAAACAGG
rnacentral:rRNA from 1 species